rnacentral:rRNA from 1 species
UACGAACUGUGCAACCGUUAAUCGGAAUUACUGGGCGUAAAGCGUGCGUAGACGGUUACAUAAGUCGGGUGUGAAAGCCCCGGGCUCAACCUGGGAAUUGCAUUCGAGACUGCGUAGCUAGGGUGCGGAAGAGGGAAGCGGAAUUUCCGGUGUAGCGGUGAAAUGCGUAGAUAUCGGAAGGAACACCAGUGGCGAAAGCGGCUUCCUGGUCCAGCACCGACGUUCAGGCACGAAAGCGUGGGGAGCAAACAGG